rnacentral:rRNA from 1 species
UAGGGAAUCUUCCGCAAUGGGCGAAAGCCUGACGGAGCAACGCCGCGUGAGUGAUGAAGGUCUUCGGAUCGUAAAACUCUGUUAUUAGGGAAGAACAAAUGUGUAAGUAACUAUGCACGUCUUGACGGUACCUAAUCAGAAAGCCACGGCUAACUACGUGCCAGCAGCCGCGGUAAUACGUAGGUGGCAAGCGUUAUCCGGAAUUAUUGGGCGUAAAGCGCGCGUAGGCGGUUUUUUAAGUCUGAUGUGAAAGCCCACGGCUCAACCGUGGAGGGUCAUUGGAAACUGGAAAACUUGAGUGCAGAAGAGGAAAGUGGAAUUCCAUGUGUAGCGGUGAAAUGCGCAGAGAUAUGGAGGAACACCAGUGGCGAAGGCGACUUUCUGGUCUGUAACUGACGCUGAUGUGCGAAAGCGUGGGGAGCGAACAGG